AGAGAUGCCUGCCUUCACCCGAUGAACAGAAACAUCGAGACAUGGACAUAACAUUGGAAUGCGUGUCUCUGUCUCACACAAAAAGCACAUCGAAACACUGAUUUUGACUUCGUGCCUACGUAGGUGUGUUCGUGAAGCCUGCACCUUCGACAGCUGGUGCUGAAAUCGAGCUGCUGCGGUGCCUCCCGAACUCGCGCCGCCGCAGGGCCUUCUGGGAGGUGUAGUACGAGACCCUGGGUGUCCACCCCUGCCACCUGGUGGGCGAAGCUGGAGUACCUACGAUUCCCUAUAACUUAGAACUCUUCCCGAGGCUUCCCAGCCUCUCAGGAGCCGCCGACUGCGCGCUUCUGGAGAUCAGGAGUCUGGACAACGGAAGCUUCUGGAAAUUAUAGUGAGAGAAACCCGUUUCACUGCAGCCGAGGCCUGGCCCAUGAGCCUGGACUACAAGUCCAGGGAGGGCCCGAUCCGCAGCCCAGGCCCGGUCGUGCACGUCCAUUGGGUGGAUACCGCACCGCCGCGCCUUCUGGGAAACGUAGUCUGACUCUCUGGGCUCUCGGUUGUACUGACUGCUGGACAGAGCUGGGAUCCGGCCGUAAGACUACAACUCCCAGAAUACACUUGCGGCGGCGUUCCGACGCUCCGGAGUCCUCGGCCUCAGCGCGGGGCUUUCUUGUCCUGCUAGUUCCGCUUUGCGUCCUGCGCCGCCGUCGGGCGGUGAGGCUGCGGUGGGCGCUGGUACCCGGUGUGCUCCGCUGUGUGUGGCCGUCCCGGGCGGUCUGGUCAGAGCCCCAGUCCCGGUCUGGCUCCAGGUCUGCGGACGAGCCAUCUCGGCGUGUCCGCCUGGACUCCUUCCCGCCACAGGGGGGGCGGUGCCGGCUCGUCCGCUUCGGGGCUGGGCUGGGGUGUCCGUCCCGAGAGCGGAGGGCGGUGCGAGGAGCGGGUGGGGCUGCAGGUGACUCCGUGAGGACCUCGGAGUCGGCCGAGGCGAUGGCCGCAGGGAUCCUGACAGCCCGACCCCCGGACCUUGGACCCCAAAGCCAGAUCCCGUUGCCCACCUAGAAUUCAGAAUAGAGCCACGGAUGAUGGACAGAGGGCUCUCCCAGGAUUCCUGCCUAGAGUAGAAAAAGAGACCUAAAAGCCAAGAGUCACCACCAACAGAGGCCUUUUCUGGUAAAGAGUUACCAAGCAGCAGAGUGAACCUGACAAGAUCCACAGUGGGUGAUUGCUGGCCUUCUACCUGAGCAGACAGUCGGGAGUCUAGGGAUGAGCCAGAGAAGCAGAAGAUGCAUGAUGGCCGCUUGGGGUCAAUGGAACGUGAACAAGGGCAAGUAGUGACCCAGGAUGGGGACUGGGGAAAUGCUGAACUUGUGGAAAAAUGCAGCUUCAAUUCAGACUUUCUUUUUGCACAGAAAUUUCUUGUCAAAGAAUAUUUCCAUCAAAUUGACUCAGUUCAAAGCUUCCAGCAUAAUUUUGUUUUAAAAAAUUAUCAGGAAAUCUUGGUAGUGAAGAAAGCUUAUAAAGGCAAUACACGUGGAAAAGCCUUAGGAAAUCUGUAUAAAUUGAGCAUGGUAAAUAUACCAACCAGAGCAUAUACCUUUCUACACAUGAGAUUAUUAAUGUAGGAAAUAAACCCUAUGGCUUUAAAGAAAGUGGAGAUUUUUUUACCCAUAGCUCAUGCUUCUCUCACUUCGUGAGAACUCAUACUAAGGAGAAACCCUAUGAAUGUAAUGCAUGUGGGAAAGCCUUUAAGAAACUUUCAUCUCUUUCUUACCAUCUGAGAAAUCACAAUAGAGAGAAAGCCUAUGAAUGUAAUGAAUGUGGGAAGUCUUUCUGGAAGAGCCUUCACCUCAUUUUGCACCAGAGAACUCACACUGGUGAGAAACCUCAUGAAUGUAAUAAAUGUGAGAAGUCUUUUAGCCAUAAUUCUUACCAUAAUGUACACCAGAGAAUUUAUACUGGAGAGAAACCCUAUAAAUGUGAUGAAUGUGGAAAAUCCUUCAGUGGAAGGUCUAAUCUUAAUGUGCAUAAGAGAACACAUACUGGAGAAAAACCCUAUAAAUGUGAUGAAUGUGGAAAAGCCUUCAGUCACAGCUCUCACCUUAAAGUUCACAAGAGAAUCUAUACUGGUGAGAAACCAUAUAAAUGUAAUGAAAGUGGGAAAAACUUUCAGUUUUCAUUUAUCCUUCACUCAGUGUAAGAGAACACACACUGGAAAGAAACCAUAUAAAUGUCAUCAGUGUGUGAGAGCUUUCAGUCAAGGUUCUAACUUUAUUGGGCACCAAAGAACUCAUGCCAGAGGAAAAACACUACGUAUUUCAUUUUAAUAUAUAAAAAUUGUACACAUACAUUUAUUAUUUAAAAAAAAUUUUUUUAAUGUUUAUUUAUUUUUGAGAGAGAGACAGAGCAUGAGAGGGGGAUGGGCAGAGAGAGAGGGAGACACAGAAUCCGACCAGGCUCCAGGCUCUGAGCUGUCAGCACAGAGCCCGACAUGGGGCUUGAACUCACAGACCACGAGAUCAUUACCUGAGCUGAAGUUGGACGCUUAACCAACCGAGCCACCCAGGUGCCCCCCCCAAAAUUGUACACAUACGUUUAAAUUUUGUGUCAUUCCCAGAGAAGGGCUGAACCUGGGUGGCAUUUGAUACCUUGGAAACUUUUCAUUAGUGAGAUCAAAGCUCUCUUCAAUAAUACUAAUUAAUAUGAUCACCCAGUGUGGGAAGGACUGUAGCUCAGAAGUCAAAAAGGUUGAUGAUAUUUGACUGAAUGACUGAAUAGACUGUUCCAAAGAGUCAGAAUGCUAUUAUUUGCUUCCUUGCUCCCCCAGAGCUACAAGAUUGGGCUGCCUCUAAUGUGUUUCAGGAAGUCAUUAUAAACUAAUUAUGGACACUGUGUCGAAACAUAGAAAAUUCCUAUAAUACAGUUCACCCUUGAAUGACACAGUUGUGAACUGUGCAGGUCCACUUAUAGAUGGAUUUUUUUCAAUAAAUACAGUACAGUAUUGUAAAUGUAUUUCUUCCUUAUGAUUUUUUUCUCUAACUUACUUUAUUGUAAGAAUAUAGUAUAUAAUACAUAUGACAUAUAAAAUAAGUGCUAAUUGACAGACCGUUUAUAUUAUUGAUAGGGUUUCCAGUCAAUAGUAGGCUAUUAGUAUAGUUUUGGGAGUCAAAGUUAUAUGUGGAAUUUCAGCUGUACAGGGAGUCAGCACGACCAUCUCCCACAUUGUUCAAGGGUCAGCUGCAGUGAAAUGUGCUGAAUUCUUGUGACUGUGUUGCCCUAUAUGUGCAUUUGGAUAAGGGCUUAGAAGGAAACAGAAAUGAACAUAGCUGAUUAAUGCGUCUUGGGAUAUUGUGUGGCUUCCUUUUAUGUUCAAAACUGCCACAAUUUUACAAUAAGUAAAAAGACAAAGAGGAGGGGCGCCUGGGUGGCUCAGUCAGUUAAAUGUCCGACUUCGGCUCAGGUCAUGAUCUCGCGGUCCGUGAGUUCGAGCUCCACGUUGGGCUCUGUGCUGACAGCUCAGGGCCUGGAGCCUGUUUCAGAUUCUGUGUCUCUCUCUCUCUCUCUGGCCCUCCCCCGUUCAUGCUCUGUCUCUCUCUGUCUCU